AGCUAGAGUUUGAUCCUGGCUCAGGACGAACGCUGGCGGCACGCUUAACACAUGCAAGUCGAACGGAGUUAUUCGGAGCUUGCUCUGGAUAACUUAGUGGCGGACGGGUGAGUAACACGUGAGCAACCUGCCUUUGAGAGCGGAAUAGCUUCUGGAAACGGAUGGUAAUACCGCAUAACAUUACCGGACCGCAUGAUCUGGUAAUCAAAGAUUUAUCGCUCAAAGAUGGGCUCGCGGCUGAUUAGAUAGUUGGUGGGGUAACGGCCUACCAAGUCGACGAUCAGUAGCCGGACUGAGAGGUUGAACGGCCACAUUGGGACUGAGACACGGCCCAGACUCCUACGGGAGGCAGCAGUGGGGAAUAUUGCACAAUGGGCGGAAGCCUGAUGCAGCGAUGCCGCGUGGAGGAAGAAGGUUUUCGGAUUGUAAACUCCUUUUAUCAGGGACGAUAAUGACGGUACCUGAAGAAAAGCUCCGGCUAACUACGUGCC
rnacentral:rRNA from 1 species